rnacentral:rRNA from 1 species
CCUACGGGUGGCAGCAGUGGGGAAUAUUGCACAAUGGGGGAAACCCUGAUGCAGCAACGCCGCGUGAAGGAAGACGGUUUUCGGAUUGUAAACUUCUGUUCUUAGUGAAGAAUAAUCACGGUAGCUAAGGAGCAAGCCACGGCUAACCACGUGCCAGCAGCCGCGGUCAUACGUAGGUGGCAAGCGUUGUCCGAAAGUACUGGGGGUAAAGGGAGCGCAGGCGGGAAGCCAAGUCAGCUGUGAAAACUACGGGCUAAACUUGGAGACUGCAGUUGAAACUGGUUUUCAUGAGUGAAGUGGGGGUUGGGGGAAUUCCGGGUGUAGCGGUGAAAUGCG